AUCUGUUUGUUUGGCUUGGUGUCGCAAACUGAGCCUCUCUUUGUGGCGUGUUAUGUCUGUUGUGCAAUGCCAUGAAGUGCACGAUUGAACA
rnacentral:sRNA from 1 species